CGUUUACCCCCCCCCCCCUUCCCCCUCCCGCCUUUCUCUGUGCCCCACCCAACAAAUAAACCACAAGCAGUCGGCCAUUCUCUGUUCUCCGUGUUUAUUUUUCGCAGCCCGUGGGUGAGGGUGAUAGAUCGGGCCAUCGGGGCAAGGGGGGAAGGGAAGGGAAGGGAGAG
rnacentral:misc_RNA from 1 species